CAGAUCAAGAGCAUCUCAUCCUCCGGCUGCUGAGUCAUCCUGCUCUGGCAGUUAUUUAAACAGAAGGCUCCAGGAGACAUACAAUCAACACUCCACUCAGACAAUGCCCAGACCUCCAGAAACCAUGUGUCAAGCUCGGAUUGCCUUAGACAGGUGCAAUUUAAGAACAGCUUUCAUCCUCUUUUCUCUCAUAUUGUCACACUAUGUGUUCUGACUUCUGGCUCCUUUCCUCACAAGAAGCUCACCCAGCUGGAACUCUUAUGGGACCUUGGCACCAGAGACCACAAAUUCCUCUUUGAAGUUUUCUAACAGCAACAAUGGUAUUUCUGACUUGGCUUUCUUGUAUUUCUCUCACGUUAACAAAAUUGGUUCAGCAUCUACCAUGGGCUACAUGCUGAGCUACAGAGUUUCGCUCUGUCGCCCAGGCUGGAGUGCAGUGGCGCGCGAUCUCGGUUCACUGCAAGCUCCACCUCCCGGGUUCACGCCAUUCUCCUGCCUCAGCCUCCUGAGUAGCUGGGACUACAGGCGCCCGCCACCACACCCAGGAAUCCAACUUGCUGUUUGCUAUCACAUGUGCUAUACAUGCUGUUGAUGAAACUGCUAAAGGGGCUGAAUGUGACUGACGUCUUUGGAAGGAUGAGACUUAGCGUGCCUGUACAGUUGUGUCCAAAUGCUGUCCUCAUCUCCCAAUGAAAAGCUGAACUAGGGCCAUGCCUGGGACAGACAGAGAAUGGCCUUCCAGCAGACAUGCCAAGAAGCAAGCCAGGGUCAGUGAGUGAAGAGGAGGGCAGGCCCAUUUGAAGCAACACAGUUUAUAUACAUGAAAAGAAAGAAGGAGAGAAGGAAGAAAGGAGGGCGGAAGGAAAGGAAGAAGGGAGAGAAGAAGAGAAGAAAGAAGCAGAGAAAGGAAGAGAAAAGAAAUUACGGCCAGUGCGGUGGCUCACGCCUGUAAUCCUAGCACUUUGGGAGGCCUAAGCGGGCUGAUCACCUGAGGUCAGGAGUUCGUAAGCCAGCCUGGCCAACAUGGUGAAACCCUAUCUCUACUAAAAAUACAAAAAUCAGCAGGGCAUGGUGGUGCGUGCCUGUAAUCCCAGCUACCUGGGAGGCUGAGGUAGGAGAAUCGCUGGAACCCGAGAGGCGGAGGCUGCAGUGAGUUGAGAUCAUGUCACUGCACUCCAGGCUGGGCAACAGAGUGAGACUCUGUCUCAGAAAAAAAAAAAAAGAAAGAAAGAAAGAAAGAAAGUUACCAUUAGUUUUUUGUUGUAUUUGCAAGCAAAGACAAAAGCACCAAGGUACUUGUUUCCUUCUGUAAUUAGAGUUUCAAAUAGACUAAAAGUUUCUGCUCUUAGGUGGGUCUAGAGACUCUCCAGUACCUCAGGACCUCAGGACACAUGGGGUCUCUUGGUUGUUUUCUUUUCAUUGUUGUUGUUUAUUUUAUUUUUGUUUUUAUUUUUUAACUUUAAAACAAUUUUUUGUAGAUGAAUAUGCUUACAUAUGUUUGGGGGUUUUUUUGAGACAGGGUCUUGCUCUGUUGCCCAGGCUGGAGAGCGGUGGUUUAACCACAGCUCACUGCAGCCUCGACCUCCCAAGGUAGGGACUGCAGGUGUGUACACUGGGGUGCACCACCACACCCAGCUAAUUUUUAAAUUUUUUUUUGUAGAUAUUGUCUCACUCUGUUGGCCAGACUGGUCUUGAAAUCCUGGGCUCGAGCAAUUCUCCUGCCUCGGCCUCGUAACGCGUUAGGAUUACAAGCGUGAACACCGCACCUGGCCAGCAUGUGGUCUCUUAACCAGAGGAGGCCUCUUCUGAACUAGGUAGAGGUCCUGAGAAUUGAUUCUGAGAGUAAAAGGCUCUUUGUUCUCCUCAGAGUAGAUUAGAAUCCCUAAUGAUAGAGCAUCUAUUAUUCCUCUAGUGGUCCAUGCCCAACAGAUUCAUCCAAGAAUAGAUGAAGAUCUUUGUAAUGUUGUGCAAGUAAUCUAAUCACCCCACAGAAGAGCUGUGACUUAAAUUAUCCCAGAGUCGGCCCACCUGUUUUCAUAAAGAUCAAUGUAACUUGUAAAUUUCUUCAGUUCUCCUCACCUAUCAUCAUUUGACUAACAAAACCCAGAAAACUAGGCUAGUUAUGGUGGCCUAUGCAUAUAAUCCCAACUCUUUGAGAGGCCAGGGUGGGUGGAUUGCUUGAGUCCAGGAAUUCGAGACCAGCCUGGGCAACAAAGGGAGACCCUGCCUAUAUCCCAGCUAUGCAGGAGGCGAGGCCAGAGGAUUGCCUGAGCCUCAGAGGUUGAGGCUGUAGUGAGCCAUGAUUGCCCCACUACACUCCAGCCUGGAUGACAGAGUGAGACCCUGCCUUAAAAAUAAUAAUAAUAGUAAUAAUAUUUCAUAAAGAUACAGGAAACUAGAUUAUAAUUGACAUUUUCAAAGUGAAAUACUGUCUAGAAUGGUGCUUGGCCAACAGUAAGCUUUUUGUAAGUGGAAGUCAUUACUACUACUAUUUCUUUCAUUAUUAUUACCAUUACUACUUUUUUUUACAAAAAAAAAACCCUGGACAACACACUGAAACCAUUACUACUUCUACUACUAUAACUUAGGUUGCACCUGAUAGAGCCAGCAAUUUUUCCAAGGUAUGACAAUGGCCAUAUGUUUAAUGAUAUAAUUCUAUGGCUCAGUGUAUCUCAGCCUUUUUAAACCCUGCUCUUCUUUUGACAAUUGUAAAAAUCUUAAACUGACCUCCAGUUGAAAUCCUCUGUCAAGAAGAUAUUGUCGGCCAGGGGCGGUGGCUCACACCUGUAAUCCCAGCACUUUUGGAGGCCGAGGUGGGAGGAUCACUUGAGGUUAGGAGUUCAAGACCAGCCUGGCCAACAUAGUGAAACCCCAUCUCUACUAAAAAUACAAAAAUUAGGCAGGCAUGGUGGUGUGUGCCUGUAAUCCCAGCUACUCAGGAGGCUGAGGUAGGAGAAUUGCUUGAACCUGGCAGGGCAGAGGUUGCAGCAAGCCGAGAUCACGCCACUGCUCUCCAGCCUGGGUGAGACUGUCUCAAAAAAAAAAAAAAAAAAGAAAGAAAGUAAGAAAAAGAAGAAAUCCCAAUCUCUUCUUUUAUGUGGAUUCUUCCUCACUUGAAUAAUACUUUUCUUCCCCAGUAUUCUCCAUAUUAUCCCAGAGUCAGCCCCUCUGUUUUUGUAAAGAUCUACGUAACCUCCUCUAAGUUUCCCAGUUCUCCUCACCUAUCAUAUCAUUUGGCUCAACAAAGGGCAGGAAGCUAGAUUCUAAUUGAUAUUUUGAGGCCGGGAGCAGUGGCUCAUGCCUGUAAUCACAGCACUUUGGGAGGCUGAGGCGGGCAGAUCACUGGAGGUCAGGAGUUCGAGACCAGCCUGGCCAAUAUGGUGAAACCUCGUCUCUACUAAAAAUACAAAAAAUUAGCCAGGCUUGGUGGCUUGUACCUGUAAUCCCAGCUACUCAGGAGGCUGAGGCAGGAGAAUAGCUUAAACCUGGGAGGAAGAGGUUGCAGUGAGCCGAGAUUGCUCAAUUGCACCCCAGCCUGGGUGACAGAGCAAAACUCCAUCUCAAAAACAAACAAACGAACAAACCUGAUAUUUUCAAAAUUGAGGCAAUUAUAACAGCUAUUUAGCCAAGCAUUAUGAUAGCAAUAAUAGCAAGAAAAUAAAUUAGUUAACAAAUGAGUCUCAGAAGCCCAAUGAUUUUUAUUUUAUUUUUAUUUUUUGAACUUUUAUUUUAGAAUCAGGGGAUACAUGUGCAGGUUUGUUACCCGGGUAUAUUGCAUGAUGCUGAGUUUUGGAGUAUGCAUGAAUCCAACCUGUCAUCCAGGUAGUGAGUAUAGUACCCAACAGAUAGUUUUUUUAACAUUUACUUCACUCCCUUCCCCAAUCUUGUAUUCCCCUGUGUCUACUGUUCCCAUUUUUAUGACUGUGCCAACAAUAAUUUUUUUUCUUUUUUCUUUAAAUAGAGAUGGGGGUCUCUAUUUAAAGAGCCUCCCAAAGUGCUAGGAUUACAGGUGUGAUCCAUUGCACCUGGCCCAUGCCAACAAUAUUUGAAACCCUUAUCUGCGUGUACAAGUUUGCUACUGGUUUUGUUUUGCUCAUUAAUACAUCCCAAGCAUCUAUACCUGGCUUGUAGUACCAGCAUGUAGUAGGUGCUUAAUAAAUAUUUAUUGAAUAAAUAAAUUAGUUUGACAUUAGUUUAACAUCUCAAGUAAAACAAAAUACCAUUCAAUUAAUUCUCUUCUUCUACUUUUUUCUUUUAAGAGAGACAAAUAGUCACACAUACAUCAGCAGGAGAGGAUACAAUUUCCUGUGUUUAAGUUUUUAUGAGUUACUUUAGUUCAAAUGUCACAGAAAAUUAUAUUGAACUCUUGACCAAUCUAUCUAUUUUUUCCAUUGGAGUAUUGACCCAAAUAAGAAAUAGCAUAAAGGAAAAAUUAUUUUUUGGCAGAAAAAUAUUCUCUCUAAAUUCUUGUGUGUUUUGUUUUGAUUUUUUCCUUAGUGACUGGAGGCCAGUUUCAAUCCACUGAAGCACAGAUUCCAAAUUUUCAAUCUGGUUUUCUUGAGUAGUGACUGAGUGCCAAAAAUGAAGCAAUGACACAACAUCACCAUCAAGACACUCCCCAGCACGCACACACAUGCCAGAGUCCAACACCAAGAUACUCCCCAGCACGCACACACACGCCAGAGUCCAGGCCAUAUUCGGGUGGCUUGCAAGCUUCUUCCCCCCAAGUAUUUACUCUCAAAAUAAUGGUUUUUGUUUUGUUUUGGUUUGGUUUGGUUUGUUUUUUUCCAAAUACAUUUCUUCCCUAUAUCUUUAACCAAUUCUCAUAAAAUUUUGUCUAAUACACUGGUCAGUGUAUUCCAGACCCUAAAAGAUAACAUAAUGAAACUAUCUAUGACUAAAAGGUAAUCAGGAUCUUCUACUUAUCCUUUUUUCCUCCCUCUUAAACUUUAAUUUUGAUACAUUUGGGAGUGAAAUGAUGACAAUAAAUGCAAAGUAAUUAUUGAAGAAACAGUAAUUUUGUAUUAGCUUACUGAAAAAAAAAAAAAAGAUAACCAAAUAUAUUUUGGCAGCCCCAAACGAGUCACAUGUGAAAUGCAGUGGGAGAGCAGUGUCCUGAAGGAAAAGGUGGCCUGCUGGACAGCCAAGAGAACAAACAUCCACUGCAAGUAAUAUGAGCUCUAAGUUUGGACUAGGCCUAUGUCUGCUCUGAGACUUGGGGCAAUUCACUUAAUCAGAGCCUUAAUCAGCUACGGACUAGCAAUAUCCAUACCCGCUACUUAUUUUGUAAAUCUCCUUUCUAAAGUUAACUCUAUUUAUUGUUCCAUAAUCCCAUAAAUUCUAGAAUCUUUUCCUGUUAUAGCCAAGUUGUCUAUCAUUGACAGAGAUAUUCACCUGGUUGUUUUGGCUUCUCUAAUCCUCCUGGUGAGAACACCUCCAAGGGAGCUUUCAGUGGCAUUUAAGGUCACUUGUGCUCUUGGUCCUAGAAACUGCCUUGAUAGUGGUUUUAGCUCACAUGAGGUAAGUCUUUAUUAUAUGCCCAACCUCUUUAUGCAUUACUUCAUUUAAUUGUAUACUAAUCCUUUGUCAUAGGUUAUCAGAGUGUUUGAUUAUAAGUUACAGGAAGAAAAAAAAAAACAAACUCCAAUUGACUAAAACAAUGGGGCAUUUUUUGACUCACAUAACAGAGAGUCUAGAGAGAAGGCACCUUCAGGUUUGGCUGAUGAAUCCUGUAUCUCUGCCUUGUCUCCAGGCCCCCAGGUUCUGCCUCUGUCCUGACAUCCAGUGUUGGAUUCCUCUUCACAUCAACUCCUCUCUAGCUGUGGCAAUUCCUUGAACCACACUGAUUGCUAUAAAGUGGAAGAGGAAUAGAUUGAAUUUUGGGGAGUCAACUACAAUGUGUACUACAGGUAAAUACUAUGAAUUUCCAAUUCACAGAUGAGAAAACUGAGGCAUGUGGUGGGAGGGAGGUUAUGUAAUUUGCCCAGUGUCACAGUUGAACCUAGGCAAAGGCCUAUCUCCAGGUCUAAACAAUUCAGUGGCCUCCUGUGUACAUUUCUGUCUCUCCUUUUUUAUCCACUGUGUCACCGAGGCUGGAUUGCAGUGGCUCGAUCAUGGAGAUCAUGGCUUUCUGUAGCCUUGAACUCCUGGGCUCAAGUGAUCCUCCUGCCUCAGCUUCCUGAGUGGCUGGGACUACAGGCUUGACAACACACCCGGCUAUCCCGUGUAUAUUUCUUGAGGGCUUAUGAUAUAUAAGAGAAACUCCAAAAUAAGAGGACGGUGUGCUAAGGGGAAGACCAAAGCACUAUCAAGAGGUAGAUUCAAUCGUACCCCUUCUAUUUACUAGUUGUGUGACUCUUUUGAAAAUGAGAAUAAUAGGCCAGGCUCGGUGGCUCCUGCCUGUAAUCCCAGCACUUUGGGAGGCUGAGGCAGGUAGAUCACCUGAGGUUAGAAGUUCAAGACCAGCCUAGCCAACAUGGCAAAACCCCAUCUCUAUUAAAAAUACAAAAAUUAGCCGGGAAUGGCAGCAUGUGCCUGUAGUUCCGGCUACUCAGGAGGCUGAGGCAGGAGAAUCACUUGAACCCAGGAGGCAGAGGUUGCAGUGAGCCGAGAUUGCGCUACUGCACUUCAGCCUGGGUGACAGCGAGACUCCAUCUCAAAAAAAAAAAAAAAGGAAGAAAAGAAAAGAAAAUGGGAAUAAUAAAACUUACUUACUGGAGCAGUAGCAAAGAUUAAAAUUUAGACCAUGCAGAAGAAUGUUUUUCAAAAUGACAUGACCUGGUAAUAGGAUAGAAAUGCAAAUUCCUGUUACUGCACCAGACCCACCAAAUAAGAAACUCUGGGGAUGGGACCCAGGACUAAGUACUUUAAUAAGCACUCCAGGUGAUUCUAAUGAUUGUUAAAGUUUGAGAACCACUGGUCUAACACAUUGCCUGGUACAUAAGCUCUUAUUUUGUUGUUAUUGUUCUAAGGACAAUGUGUGUAUUGACUUCUAUUUCCAGGAGUUCAUGACUUGGAGAACUAGGGAAAGGAAGACAAAAAUUCUUUAAUGCAGAACGAUACUGAUUGAUAAAUACCUGAAUAUAAUACAGGUUAAAUGUGCUUUGAAGAUUUAUAAAAGGUUGAAUUUAUUUCCAGCAAGAUGACUCUCAGAAGCCUUUAUAGAUUAGAGAAGAAAUGGAAAGGGGUAAAAAUAAUUAGGAACUAUAAAGCAGGGCAGACAAGUUUUCAAUGGUUACUGCCAAUGUGUAUACAGAAAGUUAGCUUGGCCAGGCAAAGUGGCUCAUGCUUGUAAUAUCAGCACUUUGGGAGGCCAAGGCGGGCAGGUCACCUGAGAUCAGGAGUUUGAGACCAGCCUGACCAACAUGGUGAAACUCUAUCUCUACUAAAAAUACACAAUUAGCCCAGCAUGGUAGAGCAUGCCUGUAAUCCCAGCUACUCAGGAGGCUGAGGCAGGAGAAUCGCUUGUACUUGGGAGGCAAAGGCUGCAGUGAGCUGAGAUCGUGCCAUUGCACUCCAUCCUGGGAAACAAGGGUGAAACUCCGUCUCCAGAAAAAAAAAAGUUACCUUGAAAUAUAUCAAUACAAACAAAUAAAUUAGAUAUUUCAUAUUGUACAGGAACAAAACCCAUCAGAAGAUGUCAGAAGAUAAGGAUUUUUGUCCUGAUGCUACACUUACCAGCUGUCCCUCAGUGUUCUACUUCUUAAAAAAAGAGAGAUGGAUAAACAGAGGCAACCCGAGGAUAAAGGCCUUGCUCAGUGUCACACAUUUCAGUCACUAAAUAAGACACAAUGGAUGCCAGUAUUCUCAUCCCCUCACAAAUAAAGAGCCUUCAAGCUCUUGCAGUCAACAAGAACUUUUGGAAUGAUUUCACUGCCUGAAAAGGCAGAUACAUAGGUGACACCCACAAAUAGGAAGAAAAUCAACCUGAACCUGAGUGUGUGGGCUCACUGACUCUAAGCAGUAGAGACAGAAGAAAAAGUUUUAGCAAAGAAGGGUUCUGAAAGAAAAUAAAUAUAGCUCGUUAUCAAGUGCUGUUUUUACACAGUAAAACAUGGGCAAAAUUACUCUUCUUUAAGUAGUAAUUCUUAUCUCUUGAUUAAGUCACCUACUCAUUCAUUUAAUAAAUACAUACUGAUUGUUUUCUAUGUGUUGAGCACUCAUCUCUGUAUUGGAAAUAUAAUAAUGACCAAAGUUGACAAUAGUAAUAACAAUAAUAGCUAAUAUAGCAGGCACUAAUAAUUAUUUGUUGAGUAAUAUGUCAAAAUUCAGUGUGAACAGCAUUCUAUUUGGGGCUGCAUCCACUGACUAUAACACAGCUAAUCUAUCUGAAAUGUUCCAGCUUUGGGCCUCUCUAACAGAAGAAGCUGUUGUUGGGCCUGCCUCUAGUUGGCGAUGCAUCCACCAAUGAGAAUGAAUUUAUGAUCGACCACUCUUCCUGUAAAGGCCGCUGGAACUGACAGCAUUGUGAUUUUCUUUUACUGUUAGUUUUAAAUUACUAGAACCAACUCAAUUACUAGAACGAACUUUACUUCUUUGUUUCCUACUUAUCAAAACAGUAAAAACAACAAGUAAAAGAAAUGCCAUCUUAAUAUUGUUUUGAUGACAAAACAGUAUUCCUUUUAGUUGUGCUUCAAAUGGAAUAAGAUGCAAACAGGCUUGGUAUGGUGGCUCACCCCUGUAAUCCCAGCCCUUUGGGAGGCCAAGGUGGAAGGAUUGCUUGAGGCCAUGAGUUUGAGACCAGCCUGCGCAACAUAGCAAGACCGUGUCUCUACAAAAAAUAAAAAAUUAGCUGAGUGUAGUGGUGUGUGCUUGUGGUCCCAGCUACUUUUGAGGCUGAGGAGGGAGAAUCUCUUGAGCCCAGAAGGUCGAAGUUGCAGUGAGCCGUGAUCGUGCCAUUGCUCUCCAGCUUGGACAACAAAGCAAGACCCUAUGUCAAAAAAUAAAUAAAUAAAAGACAUAAACAUAUCUGAGAUUAACUUUCAGUGGUAAAUUUGUUCCAUAUAUGAUUUUUAAGGUUAAAUGCUUUGGAAGCUUUAAAAACCAUUUCAGCCCUUUUAAAUGCCAACUUACACUGAUGAUGCUCUCAGAUGUUAGGAAAUCUUUUGAGCAGAAAAUGGAAGUGGGGGUGUUGAGGCAGGGAGGAGAGUGAUGCAAUAUUCCUUAGUGUCAUCCUGUGAUUUCACAAUUUGUUUUUCAAUCUGUUUGGACUUUCAAAAGGGAAGACUCUCAUAUGUCAACAAGCCCAUGAACUGAAGCUUAAAACACUGGAAACAACAACUGUAGAGUUUCAAGUAUAUGUACAUUUAUGUAUUCAUGUUCCUUGAUGGGAAUGCUGGCUGGUGUGAAUGUUCAAUCUCCUGAGAAAUGUAAAUUUUUCUCUGACAGAUUUAUUAGCUUGCUGUAUCUGAGCACAUGAGCAAAAACAAUGCCUAAUAAGAAAACUUUCUCUCUCCUUCAAAGUCAAACUUGGGAGAAAUGAAGGGAAAUCGAGUUUUCUUUGCUUGACAGUGUUCAACAUUCUUGUAGUCAGUGUGCUCAUGAAGAUUGCAAACUUUUUUUUUUUUUUAGAGCAGCUAGGACUACAGGCGCGCACCACCACACCCAGCUAAUUUGUGUAUUUUUAGUAGAGAUGGGGUUUUAACUAUGUUGGCCAAGCUUGUCUCAAACUCCUGACCUCAAGUGAUCCAUUCGACAGCUCUUUCUUUUUUUUUUUUUUUUUUGAGACAAAGUCUCGCUCUGUCACCCAGGCUGGAGUGCAGUGGUAUGAUCUCAGCUCACUGCAACCUCCGCCUCCUGGGUUCAAGCAAUUCUCAUGCCUUAGCCUCCCGAAU
rnacentral:lncRNA from 1 species